GAUGAACGCUGGCGGCGUGCUUAACACAUGCAAGUCGAACGAUGAAGCCCUGCUUGCUGGGUGGAUUAGUGGCGAACGGGUGAGUAACACGUGAGUACACCGCCCUCUACUCUGGGAUAAGCCUGGACAACUGGGUCUAUUACCGGAUAGGAGCGUCCACCGCAUGGUGGGUGUUGGAGAGAUUUAUCGGUUUUGGAUGGACUCGCGGCCUAUCAGCUUGUUGGUGUGGUAAUGGCUCACCAAGGCGACGACGGGUAGCCGGCCCGAGAGGGUGACCGGCCACACUGGGACUGAGACACGGCCCAGACUCCUACGGGAGGCAGCAGUGGGGAAUAUUGCACAAUGGGCGCAAGCCUGAUGCAGCGACGCCGCGUGAGGGAUGACGGCCUUCGGGUUGUAAACCGCUUUCAGUAGGGAAGAAGCGAAAGUGACGGUACCUGCAGAAGAAGCACCGGCUAACUACGUG
rnacentral:rRNA from 1 species